AGAUGCAGCACGUAAGCCCUAAUCUCACGUAAACUCUCCGCCGCCUCUCCUCUGCUGGACGAUGGGUCUCCGUUCGCCGGCCGGAAUUCAUGACAAGGGGGCUCUCAACCUCCCUCCUAUCUCCACAAACUUCGAUCCUCCACGAACCCGCCCUCUAGACGCCUCUAAGAGGCACUCUCUUCAGCCGCUGCCCCUCGCCGCUGCUGCAAAUACCAGCACCGCCACUAUUGCUGUUACUAGCGCCGCCGCCGCUGGUUUGCUGUCACAACUCGAUGCUACUAAGAUGCACUCUCUGCAGUCGACGCCUC
rnacentral:lncRNA from 1 species